rnacentral:rRNA from 1 species
UACGUAGGUGGCAAGCGUUAUCCGGAUUUAUUGGGUGUGAAGGGCGUGUAGGCGGGAAUGCAAGUCAGAUGUGAAAACUCAGGGCUCAACCCUGAGCCUGCAUUUGAAACUGUAUUUCUUGAGUGCUGGAGAGGCAAUCGGAAUUCCGUGUGUAGCGGUGAAAUGCGUAGAUAUACGGAGGAACACCAGUGGCGAAGGCGGAUUGCUGGACAGUAACUGACGCUGAGGCGCGAAAGCGUGGGGAGCAAACAGG